rnacentral:lncRNA from 1 species
CAUCUUAACACGUCCUUUCAGUGAACAUUAUUCCUUAGCACUUUUUUUCUUCACAGGACCACUGAUUCAUCACACUGAAGGGUGGAUUUCUGCCGGUGAGAUGAUGUGUCUGCAACUCAUCGUAGUACAUCCUACCAGUGAAGAUGGGUGCAAUACUGCUGUGUGACUUUAGAAGCCCGGAUGUGCCUCGAAGAAAUGCUGAAGGACUCGGUGGCCUCUGCAGUUCAACCAGAUGAAGAGCACCUUGAAGCAUCUGCACAUCGUGGCCUCUGCCUGUCUUGCUUUAGUGUUCUCUCUCAGACCGCACCAACAGUCUAUUGCAGAUGUGGAGGUACUGUAAAACCUUGUGAAACUGUAGGUAUUUAACUUGUGUGUUUUUCUGGUGU